rnacentral:rRNA from 1 species
GAUGAACGCUGGCGGCGUGCCUAAUACAUGCAAGUCGAGCGAACAGACGAGGAGUUUGCUCCUUUGACGUUAGCGGCGGACGGGUGAGUAACACGUGGAUAACCUACCUAUAAGACUGGGAUAACUUCGCGAAACCGGAUCUAAUACCGGAUAACAUGUUGAACCUCAUGGUUCAACAGUGAAAGACGGUCUUGCUGUGACUAAUAGAUGGUUCCGCGCCGCAUUAGCUAGUUGGUAAGGUAACGGCUUACCAAGGCAACGAUGCGUAGCCGACCUGAGAGGGUGAUCGGCCACACUGGAACAGAGACACGGUCCAGACUCCUACGGGAGGCAGCAGUCGGGAAUCUUCCGCAAUGGGCGAAAGCCUGACGGAGCAACGCCGCGUGAGUGAAGAAGGUCUUCGGAUCGUAAAGCUCUGUUAGUAGGGAAGAACAAAUGUGUAAGUAACUAUGCACGUCUUGACGGUACCUAAACAAAAAGCCACGGCUAACUACGUG